UGAUUUUUACUAUAGAUUUUACAAAAUAAAACAUUUAAAAUGGGCUGUUGCGAAAGUGAUACGAGUUGCUGUAAAACAUAUUUUUCUAUGUUUAAAAAUCUUCAUGUUCUCUACAUAUCUGCGAUACUAAUAGUUUUGAUUAUGUACUUAUCAUGGUCACUGUACGAGUGCCAAAUACGAUGUUAAGCUGAAGUUGGUAAAAUAUUUUCCAAAUCAAAUUUUAAUAAGAAGAUAAAAAUAGCAAGUUACGUUUACCAUUUGUCGUAAAUGUAAUAAAGCACGAUGACUCGUUGUAAAACAUGCGUUGAUCGCGAUUGGAAUCAACUCUUCAAUGAAAAUAGGGUCCGUGGACUUUUUUUGGGAUUGAUUCUUAUUGCAAUUAUAUUGUACUACCGAAUCUAUCGCUGCUAUCAUCCAAGACGUCGAUUGUUUUCUAUUUUAUGAUAGACCUUGGCUUUGUUUGCGACGGUCAACAUAAAAUUUAAUAAAAUUGGUUUGCACAAAAACUAUUGAAUCCCAGAUUAGAAUUAUACGAACAAAGUCAGCACUUUGUUCUUAAAGGGAAAAUAUGUUAUGAUAUUUGGAAACGAGCUCAUAUGCUUUAUUAACGCCAAGAAAAUACUAGGAAGAAGAAAUAAAUAUGUGUUUAUAAAAACGUUUUCCUUGACCAUCGAGGUGAAGUGGCUAUUUGGAUCACAGAGGAGGUUAUAAGGAUGGUCGAAUUCAACAAUUUCUCCGC